rnacentral:tRNA from 1 species
GCAUUCGUGGUGUAGUUUUCAGCACGCUUGACGCGUAUUCGAGAUGUCCGUGGUUCGAGUCCCGGCGAGGGUA